GACCUAGUGGCGGACGGAAUCGCACCCUUACUUUGUGGGGACACGGCAUAGCUGCUAUAGGAGGGAGGUCCUGGUUCGAGUCCAGGCUAGGUCG